rnacentral:rRNA from 1 species
UACGAAGGGGGCUAGCGUUGCUCGGAUUGACUGGGCGUAAAGGGCGCGUAGGCGGUUUGUACAGUCAGACGUGAAAUUCCUGGGCUCAACCUGGGGGCUGCGUUUGAUACGUGCGAGCUUGAGUUCGGAAGAGGGUCGUGGAAUUCCCAGUGUAGAGGUGAAAUUCGUAGAUAUUGGGAAGAACACCGGUGGCGAAGGCGGCGACCUGGUCCGAUACUGACGUUGAGGCGCGAAAGCGUGGGGAGCAAACAGG